AUACAUACAAAUCCCUGUCACAUUCAACUCUUCAUUUUUAGAUCGCUCUUCUUUCCCAAGAAACAGGCACCUCCUGUUACAACAUUCAAGAGCCGCGACCACAUCACAACCCUGGUCUGCUCAGUGGAAUAAGAUUACACUUACUGUGGACUUGCAAACCAUAAAAAUGAAAGACAAGUUCCUUUCAACCCUCCGCUGUUGCAGCCUGACAGAGAGUCAAACCAACUUCCACAGCAAUGACUACCUCCUUGACUUCAAACACUCUACAUAAACAGCUCACUUCGCAGACAAUUAUCAUCACUCCUACAUUCAAACUACACUAAACAAGUUCUUUACACCUUUUCAUUGUUGCAGCCACAGUCAAAACACCGUGUUGUCUCGUCAGCCAAUAAAAACCAGUUCCAGACACCUUUCUUAAUGAAACCGUCAAUCUUGUUAAGCCACCUUCACUCGUCUUCCAGAAGAACGACAACUCCUGUCACGCAUGUUUGAGACAACAAGCACGAUUACUGGAAAGGCAGAAACGCACAGCUUCUCAAUUGCAACCUGAUGCACCUUUUCACUUCAAAUAGCCGCCAAACUAAAAGCUAGCUUGCUCCCAAGAAAAAAUGCACUCACUCAAAUGAUCUGUUCGUCAGCUCCUUAAAACAGCAAGAGAAAGUAAUCAAGAGUCGACAACCGAAAGACGUGGACGCUGCACUGACUCAUCUAAACCAAUACAUGCGUAGUUUGGAUGCUGCUUUAAUUGCUUUGGAAACUAAUACAAAUACUGCAGACAAGUUCCUUACACCUUUUAGUUAUUGGAGCCUCAUAAAGUCAAGGCGAUCGCUCUUCUUUCCCAAGAAACAGCCACCUCCUGUUACAACAUUCAAGAGCCGCGACCACAUCACAACCCUGGUCUGCUCAGUGGAAUAAGAACACUUACUGUGGACUUGCAAACCAUAAGUGCGCCUUCCUCUUUGUUCUUUAAAA